rnacentral:sRNA from 1 species
CAUUGUUCAAGAUGGGUUCAAAAGACUGUGCCUCUGAGAUCUCUGGAACAGACCACCCUAGCCUUCAAUAUGGUGAAAGCAACGAAGAAGAAAUCAGAGAAUACUACACCAGAUGUCAAGCCAUCAACUUCAAGGGCGAAAUCCAAGAAAAUUAAGACUUGCCAUCAACACAAAACCAGAACUGGAGAGGAAAGUCGUAGGUCCGGAUCCAAAUGUAGUGGGAAGAUGUGAAAGAUGACAAAGAAGGCCAAGAGAAACCCUGCCAAGAAUCCCAGAAAAUAACACUCCAAAGAAAACUGCACCACCAACAAAGAAGACUAAA